rnacentral:lncRNA from 1 species
CUUAAAGCUGUACAACUCAAAAUUGCACUCUCUUCAGUGUAGUCUAAGAUUUUAUCAUUAACUAGACAUAGUUAUUCAGCUUUCAGUUACACAGCCAGAUUUUAAAAGGAUCUUCCUCCAUCCCUUUAUUUUGAGCCUAUGUGUGUCUCUGCACAUGAGAUGGGUCUCCUGAAUACAGCACACUGAUGGGUCUUCACUCUUUAUCCAAUUUGCCACUCUGUGUCUUUUAAUUGGAACAUUUAGCCCAUUUACAUUUAAAGUUAAUAUUGUUAUGUGUGAAUUUGAUCCUGUCAUUAUGCUUUUAGCUAGUUAUUU